CAGUAGCCGCGGGAAUACAGAGGGUGCGAGCGUUAAUCGGAUUUACUGGGCGUAAAGCGUGCGUAGGCGGCUUCUUAAGUCGGAUGUGAAAUCCCUGAGCUUAACUUAGGAAUUGCAUUCGAUACUGGGAAGCUAGAGUAUGGGAGAGGAUGGUAGAAUUCCAGGUGUAGCGGUGAAAUGCGUAGAGAUCUGGAGGAAUACCGAUGGCGAAGGCAGCCAUCUGGCCUAAUACUGACGCUGAGGUACGAAAGCAUGGGGAGCAAACAGGAUUAGAUACCCGAGUAGUCCCUGUCUCUUAUAC
rnacentral:rRNA from 1 species